ACAUUGAUCCAAACAAAUUUUUUUUCCACAGUAACUUCUGGACCCACAAUGCAUUGCUUGUUAAAUUACCUUCUCACAAGAAUAACAAUAAAAGUUCAACAAAUAAUAAACUCGCCUUUAUUUAUUGGAUAUAUUGCAGAUAAAUAGUUAAUAAAACAUUCUUCAUUAAAAUAAGCACUGUUCUUUCUUCAGUUUAAUGGUAAUGAAACUUACAUACCACAUCAUGUGCCGUCAGAGUCUAGACGCACCAAAUGUCACGUGCGGUUUAUAGAGACAGGCCUAAAUACAAUGAUAAACAGUACACUGAAAAGAAUGUUUGAGGCAAACAGAAGAUGCAUGGAAUCCCCCCUGAACAUGGAGACAGUACAAUUACAUGCAUUAUCAAAGCUGGAUUAUUAGGUUCUACAUUUAAACUCAACCAUAAAUAUUUGCUUAUUUUUAAGGUAUACAGAGAUCCCUUGAAGAAAUAAAGAACAGCUUUUAAUUAGAGAAUUCUCUUUUAAUACAGUUACAAAGCUUUCAAACCAUGAUGAGUAAAAAAGAUGCAAGGAAAUUUGUUUACAGCCUUCCAGAUUCAGCAAAUAAUGCUAGAGAAUUAGUUAAUGCAAGACCUAAUGAUGGAAAUGUACCAGGUUCCAUGGCUAGGAGAAUGUCAGAAAGCCUCAUCAUUAGUGUGUUACAGAGGCAGUAAAGGAAAUCGAUGGUGAUGUUUCUUGUGUUGGUGAUGAGAAUCAGAGUGAGGAGGAAAUGGAUGACAGUCAAGACAAUCAUGAUUUCCACAUUCCAGGAAAAGGAAGCCACUUUCUGAUCACAGAUCCACAACAGAAAUGGAAGAUUCUGCAUGCAAGUGACAGAAGAUACAAAAAAUCCCAAGGACAUCAUGUGAAAUGAUUUUAAUCAAAAAACAUUUCAGAAAAGAUUACAAAAAUGUAAUAAAAACUUAGAUAAGUGUUAAAGACCAAGUAUAUA